rnacentral:lncRNA from 1 species
AAUUAGAGUGCCAAGAAAAAAAAAAAGAAAAAAAGGGCUGUUUUCCAGUAUUUUUCAAUAAAUAGAAAGAUGUGCCUCCCUGAGCUAAGGCAGAGCUAUGAACAGUCCUCACAAAGGUCCCAGUGUGAGUGUGGAGUAGGAGAAUUAGAUGCCAGUCAACACACACCUACUGAGCCCAUGCUCUGGGCAAGGCACUGUUCGAGGUCCACGCGGUGGUGAGCGACAAGGCCGGGGCUUGCUUGGAGCUUCCUUUCUAGCGGGAGGAGAUGGACAAGUGGAAUGCACUCAGCAUCCCACUAAAACAAACAAGAUAGUAAACAGAAUGAGACACAAGACAUAAUUUUGGCAAAUGAGACAGGGCAUAGAGAAAGAUUCAUCACCAGAGGAAGAAGCAGACUUCGAUGGAGAGAAUCCAGGUAACUAUGGGGUUGGCAUACAAGUGUAACAAGGGAGGCAGAUGGUCAUAGGCCAGUUUCUAGUUCAGUUUUGCUUAAGAUCAGCCAUGUGUGCUGUGGGAAGUUGCCCUGAUGCAGUCGUACCCCCAAGUACAAUCAGGCAAGCAAUUCUAGAGGUCACUGAAGAGAAGUGUUCAUGGACAAAAUUAAGAUGAUCUAGUCCCAGGGUUUAAAUCCAUUUAGAACAUACCAAGGAGAAAGAGAUGAGGACGUUAAUUCGUGGAGGAGAAGGUACCAGGGGGUGGAAGGUUCACACAUGUUCCAUCUGUGGUAACCCAAUGUUCAUGGGCCCUCUCUCUCUACCGUAUCUGCCUUCCUCUCUGUUGGUGUGGUUAAGAGGACAAGAGUAGAACUUGAAUAACGUGGGGUGGGGGCAACAGAAUGGAGGGUACCUGGAGCCAAUACACACACUUACUCUCUUGGAGAGGCACAGAGAGACACAGGGGUGAG